AUUUGUCUGGUUAAUUCCGAUAACGAACGAGACCUUAACCUGCUAACUAGAUUCAUUUGUAUUACUCUUGUAAUCUUCUUAGAGGGACUAUGUAAAACAAAUACAUGGAAGUUUGAGGCAAUAACAGGUCAGUGAUGCCCUUAUAUGUCCUGGGCUGCACGCGUGCUACACUGAUGUAUACAACAAGUGCCUAACCAGACAUGGUAUGGCAAUCUCGAAUAUGCAUCGUGAUGGGGAUAGAUCUUUGCAAUUAUAGAUCUUGAACGAGGAAUUCCUAGUAAGUGCAAGUCAUCAUCUUGCAUUGAUUAUGUCCCUGCCCUUUGUACACACCGCCCGUCGCUCCUACCGAUACCGGGUGAUCCGGUGAACCUUUUGGACCUUAACUGGGAAGAUAAGUAAACCAUAUCACCUAGAGGAAGGAGAAGUCGUAACAAGGUUUCCGUAGGUGAACCUGCRGAAGGAUCA
rnacentral:rRNA from 1 species